rnacentral:rRNA from 1 species
GACGAACGCUGGCGGUGUGCUUAACACAUGCAAGUCGAACGGUAAGGCCCUUUCGGGGGUACACGAGUGGCGAACGGGUGAGUAACACGUGAGUAACCUGCCCUCAUCUCUGGGAUAACAGUCGGAAACGGUUGCUAAUACUGGAUAUGAGCCUGCAAGGCAUCUUGUGGGUUGGAAAGAUUUUUUGGUUGGGGAUGGACUCGCGGCCUAUCAGCUUGUUGGUGAGGUAGUGGCUCACCAAGGCUUCGACGGGUAGCCGGCCUGAGAGGGCGACCGGCCACAUUGGGACUGAGAUACGGCCCAAACUCCUACGGGAGGCAGCAGUGGGGAAUAUUGCACAAGGGACGGAAGUCUGAUGCAGCAACGCCGCGUGCGGGAUGACGGCCUUCGGGUUGUAAACCGCUUUCAAUUGUGACGAAGCUUUUUGUGACGGUAGCAGUAGAAGAAGCACCGGCUAACUACGUG